GUCAGCAGCUAUUAAAGUGGUAUGCAUUAAAUAAAUUUCUUUUUCUUUUUACAGCUUAUGUAUAAAAAAAGUAUGGAUGUAAGGCCUCAGAGGUUCCCCAACACAUGAGGACAAAAAUAAACAAUUCAACACUGUAAAGUGUUGCAAAGUGUAGAAAGGCAAACAAGAACAAUAGUCAAAAACAGAAACACCAGGCUAGUUAUUAAAAAUAUUAUUGCCCAGCUAAUAAUUCAUAAAAGGGGCAUAUUCAAAAAACAUUUGGUAUAUAAAAAUAUUUAUUGAGUAAUGUUUCAUCACAUUACAGGUGACUUGUUGCUUGUUUUUAAUUAACCUAGAAUAGUCAAUAACUUAUUUGAGGACUAUGUUUUGAGGCAAAUAUUAACCCAUUGAGCUGCAAUGAGCCCCAGUGCUUCCUACUUACUUUUUUUUUACUUGUCUAAUGCUAGACGGUUUUAUUUGUCAAUGGGGAAGCUCUGCAGCUUAAUGGGUUAACAAAAAAUCUUACAAUGUCUCUAGUUAACCCAUUGAGCUGCAAUGUGCCCCAGUGCGGCCUACUUAUUUUUUACUUGUCUAAUGCCAGACGAUUAAAUUACUUGUCAAUGGAGAAGCUCUGCAGCUUAAUGGGUUAAUGUAAUUAACUUUACAUGUCAAUUAUAGUUAUUACCUAGAUGGUUUAAUAACAAAGGUCAAUAAAUAUGGCAUUGCAUGGAGGUAGAAUGAUUAAUUGGUGCUUGUGUACACUGCAAUGGUUUUCUUUAGGUUAUGUUUUUGUUUUGACUUGUUAUUAAACCAUUGGUGAAAACUAUAACUGAUCUGAAAUGUUUAGUAUAACCAAUUUCUUGUAUAAAUAUUUAUAUUUGUAAUAUUAGUAUAUAUUUAUUAAUAAUCGUAUAUAUUUUUUUGCAUUAAAAAAUUAAGAGCGAUGACUGAUGAAGAACAUUG